rnacentral:rRNA from 1 species
GUGAACGCUGGCGGCAGGCCUAAUACAUGCAAGUCGAACGGCAGCACAGCAGAGCUUGCUCUGUGGGUGGCGAGUGGCGGACGGGUGAGGAAUACAUGGGAAUCUGCCCAGUCGUGGGGGAUAACGUAUGGAAACGUACGCUAAUACCGCAUGCGCCCUUUGGGGGAAAGCCGGGGACCUUCGGGCCUGGCGCGAUUGGAUGAGCCCAUGUUCGAUUAGCUAGUUGGCGGGGUAAAGGCCCACCAAGGCGACGAUCGAUAGCUGGUCUGAGAGGAUGAUCAGCCACACUGGGACUGAGACACGGCCCAGACUCCUACGGGAGGCAGCAGUAGGGAAUAUUGGACAAUGGGCGCAAGCCUGAUCCAGCCAUGCCGCGUGAGUGAAGAAGGCCCUCGGGUUGUAAAGCUCUUUUGUCCGGAAAGAAAAGCAUUCGGUUAAUACCCGGGUGUUCUGACGGUACCGGAAGAAUAAGCACCGGCUAACUUCGUG